GGCUGACUACCAUGUUAUUAGGCACUUACCAUUGUGGGUCUUUCAUCUUGGUUAUUGUCUAAGGUAUGUGUGGAGCCAAAAAAUUUGGAUCAUGGAAAGGAUACCUCAAACAUAGAUUAAGAUUUUUUUGUCGAUGGAUUUGUUUAACUAUAAUUUAUUGAUCUAAUGUAAUUAAAAUUAAUGAUUAUAGAUUAAAUCAAAUUCAUACUUCUAAUUUGAUUAAAAGUUAUGUUUAAUUUUAUG
rnacentral:lncRNA from 1 species